AUUGAACGCUGGCGGCAGGCCUAACACAUGCAAGUCGAACGAGUGGCGGACGGGUGAGUAAUGUCUGGGAAACUGCCCGAUGGAGGGGGAUAACUACUGGAAACGGUAGCUAAUACCGCAUACCAUCGGAUGUGCCCAGAUGGGAUUAGCUUGUAGGGGAGGUAACGGCUCACCUCGGCGACGAUCCCUCGCUGGUCUGAGAGGAUGACCAGACACACGGGAACGGAGACACGGUCACGACUCCGACGGUGGGCCGCAGGGGGGAAUAUUGAACAAGGGGCGCAAGCCUGAUGCAGCCAUGCCGCGUGUAUGAAGAAGGCCUUCGGGUUGUAAAGUACUUUCAGCGGGGAGGCGUUACCCGCAGAAGAAGCACCGGCUAACUCCGUGCCAGCAGCCGCGGUAAUUC
rnacentral:rRNA from 1 species